rnacentral:rRNA from 1 species
GAUGAACGCUGGCGGCGUGCCUAAUACAUGCAAGUCGAGCGAACAGAUGAGGAGCUUGCUCCUCUGACGUUAGCGGCGGACGGGUGAGUAACACGUGGAUAACCUACCUAUAAGACUGGGAUAACUUCGGGAAACCGGAGCUAAUACCGGAUAAUAUAUUGAACCGCAUGGAUCAAUAGUGAAAGACGGUUUUGCUGUCACUUAUAGAUGGAUCCGCGCCGCAUUAGCUAGUUGGUAAGGUAACGGCUUACCAAGGCAACGAUGCGUAGCCGACCUGAGAGGGUGAUCGGCCACACUGGAACUGAGACACGGUCCAGACUCCUACGGGAGGCAGCAGUAGGGAAUCUUCCGCAAUGGGCGAAAGCCUGACGCAGCAACGCCGCGUGAGUGAUGAAGGUCUUCGGAUCGUAAAACUCUGUUAUUAGGGAAGAACAAAUGUGUAAGUAACUAUGCACGUCUUGACGGUACCUAAUCAGAAAGCCCCGGCUAACUACGUG